rnacentral:rRNA from 1 species
AGUGAACGCUGGCGGUAGGCCUAACACAUGCAAGUCGAACGGCAGCACAGUAAGAGCUUGCUCUUACGGGUGGCGAGUGGCGGACGGGUGAGGAAUACAUCGGAAUCUACUUUUUCGUGGGGGAUAACGUAGGGAAACUUACGCUAAUACCGCAUACGACCUACGGGUGAAAGCAGGGGAUCUUCGGACCUUGCGCGAUUGAAUGAGCCGAUGUCGGAUUAGCUAGUUGGCGGGGUAAAGGCCCACCAAGGCGACGAUCCGUAGCUGGUCUGAGAGGAUGACAAGCCACACUGGAACUGAGACACGGUCCAGACUCCUACGGGAGGCAGCAGUGGGGAAUAUUGGACAAGGGGCGCAAGCCUGAUCCAGCCAUACCGCGUGGGUGAAGAAGGCCUUCGGGUUGUAAAGCCCUUUUGUUGGGAAAGAAAAGCAGCAGGUUAAUACCCCGCUGUUCUGACGGUACCCAAAGAAUAAGCACCGGCUAACUUCGU